UACGUAGGGGGCAAGCGUUGUCCGGAAUUAUUGGGCGUAAAGCGCGCGCAGGUGGUGGAUUAAGUUGUGGGUAAAAGGCAAUGGCUCAACCAUUGUAAGCCUGCAAAACUGGUUCACUUGAGUGCAGGAGAGGGGAGUGGAAUUCCCGGUGUAGCGGUGGAAUGCGUAGAGAUGUGGAGGAACACCGAUGGCGAAGGCAGCCUCCUGGGCCAACACUGACGCUCAUGCACGAAAGCGUGGGGAGCAAACAGG
rnacentral:rRNA from 1 species